GCUGUAGUAAAGUACAUAAAAUUAUGAAAAGCUCUUAAAGAUACCAACUGUGAUCCUAACUUGUUUUUUAAUGUCUCCAAAUUCACAUUUAUUUUAUAAAUCCAUUGACUCUUGCAAUGCUAAGUCAUUAAUAAGAUAACGAUUAGUAAUGGACAAUAUUUACCUGUUAGCUGCCUUAGUUUUAGCGAUCUGCUCCUCAUGAGUUUUGUACCAAUCCUCCAACUCCUUUUUGGCUAUUUUAAGCAUCUCCUCUUUCUUGUUUUCUUCCUCAGCAUCU